rnacentral:rRNA from 1 species
UACGUAGGGUGCAAGCGUUGUCCGGAAUUAUUGGGCGUAAAGAGCUCGUAGGCGGUCCGUCACGUCGGCUGUGAAAACCCGGGGCUCAACUCCGGGCCUGCAGUCGAUACGGGCGGACUAGAGUACUGCAGGGGAGACUGGAAUUCCUGGUGUAGCGGUGAAAUGCGCAGAUAUCAGGAGGAACACCGAUGGCGAAGGCAGCUCGCUGGGACGGUACUGACGCUGAGGCGCGAAAGCGUGGGGAGCAAACAGG